GUGUCAGAACUGGUCGUUAUAUUGUUAUACAUAUAUUUUAUUAUCUUUAAACUGAGAAGGCUAUUAUAUCAUUACGGGAUGAACUGGAGCGUGUUGUACAUGCUAUGCAGUAAACAGUUGUGCGACAAAAUUUCAUCAAAUAAUAUCGACUAUUUACUCAAGGAUAUUGGAAUUGUUAAACAGGAGCAAACAUUUUAACCUUAAAUACUUCCUAAUACUCACCACUGUAUAAAGUUUAUUUUCAGAUUACACGCAAAGCUUAUCUUAUUUAUAUA